AAGUUAACAGUUGCUCUAACUUACCAUGAAGGAGUCGCUCUAACUUACCGUGAAGAAGACCUGCUGAUGGGAAGGGAAUAUCCAGCAAAUGACAGCACCAACACUGCCCAGCGGAGAGGGAGCAGAGAGGGAAGGCACUGGAGUCGCCAAGACAAGUGUGGUUGUGCUGCACUUCUUUCAAAGGCAUUCCAUCAGCAGCUACAACUAUUAACGUCUACAGUACUCCAAGGUCAAAGCGAGACGGGUGCGGUGCAGCAAUCAGUUGCAAUGUAAUAAAUCCUGCCAUGUGGUUUGCCUUCUUGCUGUGGUCUUGCCAUCAGACAGACACUCAUCUGAUACUAGCGCUGCCUGCAUUGAUAUGGCUGACAGCGGAUUCUCUGUGCAGCCUCCUCGACACCUCCGGAUUUCCUUGUUUUCCACCCGGAGCAGCACUUAUCCUUUAUAUAAGGACUUUAUCUCCACAAUGGGAGGCUCUGUUUGCCUAAACCAGCUGGGAUCGACAGCACAAUAACUGUGUCUGUGUUGCAAGGGUCAGCCCUCGACACGCUCCAGCUCUCCUUGCGAAAACUAAUUCCCAGGACAUGUGUAGUACAAGCAAGGCACACAGGCAUGCUGUCACAGAAUACAGGACAAUAUACUACUGUACAGCGUAGUGAAAGCCUUUUAAAGCCCCAGAGUCCAGAUCCUGCAGGUUUACUGCCGUAGCUGCAGUUUGCAUGUUCAGUGUUUUAUGAUCUCAGGGUGUAGAUAUGAAGUGGUUAGUUGAGUUGCACACAUUUAGUCUUUCUUCACCCAUUCUGCUGUUUGUUACGAAGUACUGCAUCACCCAUAACCCCUGAUCUACACACCAUAGUCCUGACAUACACAUUAAGCCUUAUAGAACAGAAUAGAAUCACUGAUUUGUACUGUCCUGAGUGUCUUCCUAAGAUGCAUUGUUAAGUGAGUAUUUACCAAAAUCUGUUCUAUACCAAGUGAAUGCCAGACUAAAAAUCUCCUUUUGUAAGAGAUUUAACUGAGUCACGCUUAUUCAACCAGCAUUAAUACAGAGGGAUUUGACACGGCUGGACGUCACGGCUGCAUACUGAAACACGCUGGUUGUGAUUGCACUGCUUCUGUGUAAAAGGUCCUUUACCUACCUGGGUAAGUUUUGACAGCAGAGUCACAUCAAUAGGUCUUUCUGUUUGUUUGUGUUAUGAGGAUAGCAUCACUGGGAGGAAUGGUAGACUGCCAGGAAGGUGAAAGGUGAGGGCCUGACAACCUUCCUCUAUUCAUUGGGACUUUAAACACAUUGUAGAAAUAGCAGGCUUUCAUUCACACAGCUUUACACUGGACAGGACAGGAAGCUGAUCAGUUUUCAGAACAACAGGAUGGCUUUGAACUGGCAGUUCAGUCAUUCUGGAGGAAAGAACAACAAACUAAGCAAUUCACCAGGGAGGCAAGACCAGGAGCCUCACGGGCCGAGACACUUGCUCAACAUGGGGUACAAACAGGCAAGAGGAACGUGGAUGUGACAGGCUGGGACUGUCCCAUUCACACAUGCAACAAAACAGAGACAGCAAUCAGCAAGUCCCAGAGCGUGGAUCCCCAGUCCCACUCCACGCUGCGGCUCUGCCAACCUCCCCUCUGAGAAGGAACGUCACACAGGGCUUUGUGCUCCAAACAGCCUCACUAAAGCUCCUUUUUAUAGGAAGAAUGAGGCUCUCUUGCAGGUGUGUGAGAGCCCACUGCUGUGCCAGCCUUGACCUGAUUUUGAAGUGAGAACUUCUCAAUUACCUUUAACAAACAAUAUGCAGGGACAGCAGCACUGCAAUGGCACUGUGCUAAGGGUAGCACAAGUGUCGCUAUAUUGGUUUGAUUCACUGAUAGUAUAGAACCUGUGGUAGCAUUAAUCACCUGCUUGCAAUAACUAUAGAGGCUACAGAUUUGUGUGUUAUAUCUGUAUUGUUUGUUUUGGAACCCCUACCCGUAAAUCAGGCUCUAGAAAAAGCAAUUAUGGUAAAGAGUGGUGUGGUCUGAUCUAAAAAUCAGAGCUCAAACAUGGUCAAAUCUGCAGUGAGAGGGAGUGGCCUGUCUUCAUAAGCCAUUCUCAGCCCAGCUCUACCUGCUCAUUGGUGGAAGCUGGCAAGGGGCAGGGCAGAGAGAGUGCUGACCCCUCCCCUUUCCUCAAACCACAGGGACUCAUUCAUAUCAGGGAAGAGAAUAACAGCUCGCUCUGCAUGCCAACUGUAUUACACACAAGAAUCAGCCAAACCACUUGAGAAAGAGAAGCAUUUCCUAUGCAAAGCUGAGCGGUUUCGCUUGCACACACCACAGAGAGCAGUCUGCUUCUAAAGAAGUACUUUCAGCAAGCAGGAACCAAGCACUAACCUGGGUUCAAUUCAAAUUAUGCGAUUCUGUAUCCGCAAGCACCUUUAGAACCAGCAUCCAAAUACUGAUGACUGACUUACCAAAAAGACUACUGCACCGGUUUAUUUUAAUAACAGUAUCAAUUACAAUCUAAUUAACAACUGAUUCUACAACUUAACUAACACUGCCACCUUGUGGUCUGAUUUAAUACUGCAUCUGGCACCAGCAUUAAUAAUAUAACCAUUUUUGAUAAGAGAAGCACAGGAAAUAAGAGACUGGAAAAGCUAACAGUUUCCACCAGAGUCUGAGGAACAGGGGAGCUUUGACUCAGCUGAACAAGGAGGUCUUUAUCCAGGGCUCAGCGCCGGGAAGCUCUAGAACAAAUCCGUUUUACUGGCUGUGAAAACCGAGAGGCUGGGAAGUUGGACUGUGCGUUUCCUUUGAUAUAAAUUCAUUAGGAGGGUGGUAGGGGGGGUAUAACCGGAGGUCAGCCUGGCAGCUCAGUAUUAACCCUUUCCAUCCCUUCUGAAAUCACGAGUGGAAGAUCAGCAAGGAGAGUGCAGCUCACUUUCAUAUAUUUACAAAAUACACGGCAGUACUGUGGGUUUGAUUCUCUCCACUGCACACACGUUCUGCAUUCUGUUGCUAACAGUUUACUGACCCCAAU